rnacentral:rRNA from 1 species
UACGUAGGGUGCAAGCGUUGUCCGGAAUUAUUGGGCGUAAAGAGCUCGUAGGCGGUUUGUCGCGUCGGCUGUGAAAUCGUGGGGCUCAACCCCGCGCCUGCAGCCGAUACGGGCAAACUAGAAUUCGGUAGGGGAGACUGGAAUUCCUGGUGUAGCGGUGAAAUGCGUAGAUAUCGUAAGGAAGACCAGUGGCGAAGGCGGGUCUCUGGACAGUUCCUGACACUGAGACACGAAAGCCAGGGGAGCGAACGGGG